GACACAGGGAGGUAGUGACAAGAAAUAACAAUACAGGGCUAUUUUAGUCUUGUAAUUGGAAUGAGUACAAUUUACAUCUCUUCACGAGGAUCAAUUGGAGGGCAAGUCUGGUGCCAGCAGCCGCGGUAAUUCCAGCUCCAAUAGCGUAUAUUAAAGUUGUUGCAGUUAAAACGCUCGUAGUCGGAUUUCGGGGCGGGCCGACCGGUCUGCCGAUGGGUAUGCACUGGCCGGCGCGUCCUUCCACCCGGAGACCGCGCCUACUCUUAACUGAGCGGGCGCGGGAGACGGGUCUUUUACUUUGAAAAAAUCAGAGUGUUUCAAGCAGGCAGUCGCUCUUGCAUGGAUUAGCAUGGGAUAAUGAAAUAGGACUCUGGUGCUAUUUUGUUGGUUUCGAACACCGGAGUAAUGAUUAACAGGGACAGUCAGGGGCACUCGUAUUCCGCCGAGAGAGGUGAAAUUCUCAGACCAGCGGAAGACGAACCACUGCGAAAGCAUUUGCCAGGGAUGUUUUCACUGAUCAAGAACGAAAGUUAGGGGAUCGAAGACGAUCAGAUACCGUCGUAGUCUUAACCAUAAACCAUGCCGACUAGGGAUUGGAGGAUGUUCCAUUUGUGACUCCUUCAGCACCUUUCGGGAGACUAAAGUCUUUGGGUUCCGGGGGGAGUAUGGUCGCAAGGCUGAAACUUAAAGGAAUUGACGGAAGGGCACCACCAGGAGUGGAGCCUG
rnacentral:rRNA from 1 species